CUUGAUAGAAUGCAUACCGGAAAGAAAGAUAGAGAAGGAAUUAUCUUUUUAUUUUUUAUAUAUACCAAUAUAAGUAUUCUCUUCUACACCAUUUUUCCUUAUUUUCGGUUUUUUUUACCGAAAUGACAUUCGCGGUAGUCAUAUUACCGUAAUAGUUAGUGCAUGUUAUACGAUACUUUAAGUACCGUAAUACUUAUGAAAUUUUAUACGUAAACUUACACUAGCCCUUAUACAGUAUUUUAAGUACCAUAAACACUAACCUUUCUACAGCAUUUUAAGUACCAUAAACACUAACCCUUAUACAGCAUUUUAAGUACCAUAAACACUAACCCUUAUACAGCAUUUUAAGUACCAUAAACACUAACCCAUAUUAUACGUCACCUGUAAACAUUUUUCUCAUUGUGUUUAUCUCUUUCAUUUCUAAUUAUUUUUAUGUUUAUCUAUUAUUUCUCUCUCUAAUUCUUUUUAACAUUUAUUUAUUCUUUCUCUCUCUAAUUAUUUUUUGUCUUUUUUUUUUCUCUCUACAAUCUCAUCAUCCUCUCCUUAGAGAGAGUAAUCAAAUACCGACUUCAGCUAUACAAAACAGAUGACAUGAUCUAUCUAAGAAAAUGAUGAUGAGAUUGUAGAGAGAAAGAAGAGAUAAAAAAUAAUAAGAAUGAAAAAUAAGAGAUAAAUAUUAAAAUGAAUUGGAGAGAGAAAGAAGAGAUAAACAUAAAAAGAAUUAGAGAUGAAAAAGAUAAACAAAAUGAUAAAAUGGUUUACGGCAUUUUAAGAGCCGUAUAACAUGGUUAGUGUUUACGGCACUUAAAAUGUCGUAUAAUGGGGGUUUUAGUUUUAUGGUUAGUGUUUACAGUACUUAAAAUGCCGUAUAAUGGGUUUUAGUUUUAUGGUUAGUGUUUACGGUACUUAAAAUGCUGUAUAAUGGGUUUUAAUUUUUACGGUACUUAAAGUACCGUAAUUGGCUUCACGGUCAUGGUCAAAGUUUUACGGUAUUUAAAGUACCAUAAUAUUACUUGAAAUUACUACGGUAUUUUAAAUACCGUAUAAAAUGAUAUGUAUUACGGUAGUAAGAUUACUGUGAAGGUCAUUUUGGUCUAAAAAAAACCGAAAAUGAGGAAAAAUGGUGUAGACGAG
rnacentral:lncRNA from 1 species